CAACGAAUCAAAACUUUCAACAACGGAUCUCUUGGUUCUGGCAUCGAUGAAGAACGCAGCGAAAUGCGAUAAGUAGUGUGAAUUGCAGAAUUCAGUGAAUCAUCGAAUCUUUGAACGCACAUUGCGCCCCUUGGUAUCCCGAGGGGCAUGCCUGUUCGAGCGUCAUUUCACCACUCAAGCCUGGCUUGGUGUUGGGCGACGUCCCCCUUUAGGGACGCGCCUCGAAACGCUCGGCGGCGUGGCACCGGCUUUAAGCGUAGCAGAAUCUUUCGCUUUGAAAGUCGGGGCCCCGUCUGCCGGAAGACCUACUCACAAGGUUGACCUCGGAUCAGGUAGGGAUACCCGCUGAACUUAAGCAUAUC
rnacentral:misc_RNA from 1 species